rnacentral:rRNA from 1 species
CAGAAUGAACGCUAGCCAUAGGCUUAACACAUGCAAGUCGAACGUUUUGAAUUGAAAACGUGGCGAACGGGUGAGUAAUGCGUAAGAAUCUACCUCAGAGUCUAAGCAAGAGAGAUUCUCGAAUCUUAGAUACACAAAAGGUAUAAGUCCGCUCUGAGAUGAGCUUGCGUAGGAUUAGGUAGUUGGUAAGGUAAAGGCUUACCAAGCCAAAGAUCCUUAGCUGGUCUAAGAGGACGAUCAGCCACACUGGGACUGAGACACGGCCCAGACGCUUCCGAGCGGCAGCAGUGAGGAAUCUUGGACAAUGAGCGAAAGCUUGAUCCAGCCAUAAUGGCGUGAGUGAUGAAGACUGUUUUGGUUGUAAAGCUCUUUCCUUGAGAUUGGAUUGUGACACCAUUCAAGAAACAAGUCCCGGCUAAUCUCGUGCCAGCCGCAGC